UUAAGCGACUAAGCGUACACGGUGGAUGCCCUGGCAGUCAGAGGCGAUGAAGGACGUGCUAAUCUGCGAUAAGCGUCGGUAAGGUGAUAUGAACCGUUAUAACCGGCGAUUUCCGAAUGGGGAAACCCAGUGUGUUUCGACACACUAUCAUUAACUGAAUCCAUAGGUUAAUGAGGCGAACCGGGGGAACUGAAACAUCUAAGUACCCCGAGGAAAAGAAAUCAACCGAGAUUCCCCCAGUAGCGGCGAGCGAACGGGGAGGAGCCCAGAGCCUGAAUCAGUGUGUGUGUUAGUGGAAGCGUCUGGAAAGGCGCGCGAUACAGGGUGACAGCCCCGUACACAAAAAUGCACAUGCUGUGAGCUCGAUGAGUAGGGCGGGACACGUGGUAUCCUGUCUGAAUAUGGGGGGACCAUCCUCCAAGGCUAAAUACUCCUGACUGACCGAUAGUGAACCAGUACCGUGAGGGAAAGGCGAAAAGAACCCCGGCGAGGGGAGUGAAAAAGAACCUGAAACCGUGUACGUACAAGCAGUGGGAGCACGCUUCGGCGUGUGACUGCGUACCUUUUGUAUAAUGGGUCAGCGACUUAUAUUCUGUAGCAAGGUUAACCGAAUAGGGGAGCCGAAGGGAAACCGAGUCUUAACUGGGCGUUAAGUUGCAGGGUAUAGACCCGAAACCCGGUGAUCUAGCCAUGGGCAGGUUGAAGGUUGGGUAACACUAACUGGAGGACCGAACCGACUAAUGUUGAAAAAUUAGCGGAUGACUUGUGGCUGGGGGUGAAAGGCCAAUCAAACCGGGAGAUAGCUGGUUCUCCCCGAAAGCUAUUUAGGUAGCGCCUCGUGAAUUCAUCUCCGGGGGUAGAGCACUGUUUCGGCAAGGGGGUCAUCCCGACUUACCAACCCGAUGCAAACUGCGAAUACCGGAGAAUGUUAUCACGGGAGACACACGGCGGGUGCUAACGUCCGUCGUGAAGAGGGAAACAACCCAGACCGCCAGCUAAGGUCCCAAAGUCAUGGUUAAGUGGGAAACGAUGUGGGAAGGCCCAGACAGCCAGGAUGUUGGCUUAGAAGCAGCCAUCAUUUAAAGAAAGCGUAAUAGCUCACUGGUCGAGUCGGCCUGCGCGGAAGAUGUAACGGGGCUAAACCAUGCACCGAAGCUGCGGCAGCGACACUAUGUGUUGUUGGGUAGGGGAGCGUUCUGUAAGCCUGUGAAGGUGGCCUGUGAGGGUUGCUGGAGGUAUCAGAAGUGCGAAUGCUGACAUAAGUAACGAUAAAGCGGGUGAAAAGCCCGCUCGCCGGAAGACCAAGGGUUCCUGUCCAACGUUAAUCGGGGCAGGGUGAGUCGACCCCUAAGGCGAGGCCGAAAGGCGUAGUCGAUGGGAAACAGGUUAAUAUUCCUGUACUUGGUGUUACUGCGAAGGGGGGACGGAGAAGGCUAUGUUGGCCGGGCGACGGUUGUCCCGGUUUAAGCGUGUAGGCUGGUUUUCCAGGCAAAUCCGGAAAAUCAAGGCUGAGGCGUGAUGACGAGGCACUACGGUGCUGAAGCAACAAAUGCCCUGCUUCCAGGAAAAGCCUCUAAGCAUCAGGUAACAUCAAAUCGUACCCCAAACCGACACAGGUGGUCAGGUAGAGAAUACCAAGGCGCUUGAGAGAACUCGGGUGAAGGAACUAGGCAAAAUGGUGCCGUAACUUCGGGAGAAGGCACGCUGAUAUGUAGGUGAAGUGCCUUGCGCGUGGAGCUGAAAUCAGUCGAAGAUACCAGCUGGCUGCAACUGUUUAUUAAAAACACAGCACUGUGCAAACACGAAAGUGGACGUAUACGGUGUGACGCCUGCCCGGUGCCGGAAGGUUAAUUGAUGGGGUUAGCGGUAACGCGAAGCUCUUGAUCGAAGCCCCGGUAAACGGCGGCCGUAACUAUAACGGUCCUAAGGUAGCGAAAUUCCUUGUCGGGUAAGUUCCGACCUGCACGAAUGGCGUAAUGAUGGCCAGGCUGUCUCCACCCGAGACUCAGUGAAAUUGAACUCGCUGUGAAGAUGCAGUGUACCCGCGGCAAGACGGAAAGACCCCGUGAACCUUUACUAUAGCUUGACACUGAACAUUGAGCCUUGAUGUGUAGGAUAGGUGGGAGGCUUUGAAGUGUGGACGCCAGUCUGCAUGGAGCCGACCUUGAAAUACCACCCUUUAAUGUUUGAUGUUCUAACGUUGGCCCCUGAUCGGGGUUGCGGACAGUGUCUGGUGGGUAGUUUGACUGGGGCGGUCUCCUCCUAAAGAGUAACGGAGGAGCACGAAGGUUGGCUAAUCCUGGUCGGACAUCAGGAGGUUAGUGCAAUGGCAUAAGCCAGCUUGACUGCGAGCGUGACGGCGCGAGCAGGUGCGAAAGCAGGUCAUAGUGAUCCGGUGGUUCUGAAUGGAAGGGCCAUCGCUCAACGGAUAAAAGGUACUCCGGGGAUAACAGGCUGAUACCGCCCAAGAGUUCAUAUCGACGGCGGUGUUUGGCACCUCGAUGUCGGCUCAUCACAUCCUGGGGCUGAAGUAGGUCCCAAGGGUAUGGCUGUUCGCCAUUUAAAGUGGUACGCGAGCUGGGUUUAGAACGUCGUGAGACAGUUCGGUCCCUAUCUGCCGUGGGCGCUGGAGAACUGAGGGGGGCUGCUCCUAGUACGAGAGGACCGGAGUGGACGCAUCACUGGUGUUCGGGUUGUCAUGCCAAUGGCACUGCCCGGUAGCUAAAUGCGGAAGAGAUAAGUGCUGAAAGCAUCUAAGCACGAAACUUGCCCCGAGAUGAGUUCUCCCUGACUCCUUGAGAGUCCUGAAGGAACGUUGAAGACGACGACGUUGAUAGGCCGGGUGUGUAAGCGCAGCGAUGCGUUGAGCUAACCGGUACUAAUGAACCGUGAGGCUUAACCUU
rnacentral:rRNA from 1 species